CUCCUGGUAGCUUAGCUGGUUUAAAGCGCGAGACUGUAAAUAUCUUGAGAUCGGGUGUUCGACUCACCCCCGGGAGA